UCUGGUUGAUCCUGCCAGUAGUUAUAUGCUUGUCUCAAAGAUUAAGCCAUGCAUGUCUAAGUACACACGAAUUAAAAGUGAAACCGCAAAAGGCUCAUUAUAUCAGUUAUGGUUCCUUAGAUCGUUAACAGUUACUUGGAUAACUGUGGUAAUUCUAGAGCUAAUACAUGCAAUUAAAACAUGAACCUUAUGGGACAUGUGCUUUUAUUAGGCUAAAACCAAGCGAUCGCAAGAUCGUUUAUUUGGUUGAACUCUAGAUAACAUGCAGAUCGUAUGGUCUUGUACCGACGACAGAUCUUUCAAAUGUCUGCCCUAUCAACUUUUGAUGGUAGUAUCUAGGACUACCAUGGUUGCAACGGGUAACGGGGAAUCAGGGUUCGAUUCCGGAGAGGGAGCCUGAGAAACGGCUACCACAUCUAAGGAAGGCAGCAGGCGCGUAAAUUACCCACUCCCAGCUCGGGAGGUAGUGACGAAAAAUAACAAUACAGGACUCAUAUCCGAGGCCCUGUAAUUGGAAUGAGUACACUUUAAAUCCUUUAACAAGGACCAAUUGGAGGGCAAGUCUGGUGCCAGCAGCCGCGGUAAUUCCAGCUCCAAUAGCGUAUAUUAAAGUUGUUGCGGUUAAAACGUUCGUAGUUGAACUUGUGCUUCAUACGGGUAGUACAACUUACAAUUGUGGUUAGUACUAUACCUUUAUGUAUGUAAGCGUAUUACCGGUGGAGUUCUUAUAUAUGUUUAAAUACUUGUAUUUUUUCAUAUGUUCCUCCUAUUUAAAAACCUGCAUUAGUGCUCUUAAACGAGUGUUAUUGUGGGCCGGUACAAUUACUUUGAACAAAUUAGAGUGCUUAAAGCCUGGUUAAAGCCGGAGAUUCUGAGCUCCGAAGUUUUUCCAGCUGUGUUCACGGUAUAUCGCUAGAUCGCCCU
rnacentral:rRNA from 1 species